rnacentral:rRNA from 1 species
GAUGGACCCGCGGUGCAUUAGCUAGUUGGUGAGGUAACGGCUCACCAAGGCCACGAUGCAUAGCCGACCUGAGAGGGUGAUCGGCCACAUUGGGACUGAGACACGGCCCAAACUCCUACGGGAGGCAGCAGUAGGGAAUCUUCGGCAAUGGACGGAAGUCUGACCGAGCAACGCCGCGUGAGUGAAGAAGGUUUUCGGAUCGUAAAACUCUGUUGUUAGAGAAGAACAAGGGUGAGAGUAACUGUUCACCCCUUGACGGUAUCUAACCAGAAAGCCACGGCUAACUACGUGCCAGCAGCCGCGGUAAUACGUAGGUGGCAAGCGUUGUCCGGAUUUAUUGGGCGUAAAGCGAGCGCAGGCGGUUUCUUAAGUCUGAUGUGAAAGCCCCCGGCUCAACCGGGGAGGGUCAUUGGAAACUGGGAGACUUGAGUGCAGAAGAGGAGAGUGGAAUUCCAUGUGUAGCGGUGAAAUGCGUAGAUAUAUGGAGGAACACCAGUGGCGAAGGCGGCUCUCUGGUCUGUAACUGACGCUGAGGCUCGAAAGCGUGGGGAGCAAACAGGAUUAGAUACCCUGGUAGUCCACGCC